CGGCCAAUGGGCUGUGAGCCCAGUCGCUGCCUGGGCCUCUCCCGGGAGCUGCCGCUGAGAAGUGAAAAUGCCAUUCAUCUCCAAAGAUUAAAGCCUGGUAUAAUAACAUCAGCAAUGGAAGCCUUGGAAAGAUUCCUAUACAAAUGAUGUUUCCCUUCCUGCCGCGCCGGGCUAGCCAGGAGCGCUACGAUGAGAAGGCUGACGAGCACCGGGGCACCAACCUGCUGCUGCGGGCCACGCAGGACUUCGGCGACAUCGCCGUCAGCCACGUGGGGGCCACGGUCCCGACCCAUGGC